ACUCUGGUGGUCCAGUGGCUAAGGACGCCAUGCUCCCAAUGCAGGGGGCCCAGGUUCAAACCCUGGUCAGGGAA
rnacentral:tRNA from 1 species